ACAAUCUGGGCAUCCCUCCGAAAAAACGAUAUCCACCUAUGCGCGAUGCUCUCAAUGCAACUGGGCGUAAAAUAUUCUAUUCACUCUGUGAAUGGGGUGUUGAUGACCCUGCCUUGUGGGCAGGCAAGGUGGGUAACAGUUGGCGCACAACUGAUGACA